UAUAUUUGAAGUAUCACUUUGCACAGGACCUGUCACUUUCGCACUUUCGUUCUUGGUCUCGCGGGCGACACGUGUCUUGAUGUUAAGAAUUUAAGACGCCGAGAAAAAUUAAAAUAAUUCAAGAAAGAACGAAGGCAUUUUGGGAUAUGCGUUUUACUAUUAUAUCACCCCUGGACAUUAAAUAAAAGAAAGAAAGAUAACCAGGAUGCCGAAGGGUUCAAAAAUGUUGUUCGAUCGCUAUUUUACGUAUCUAGGUUUGCAGAUACUAUGGCAACUAUUUCAUAUGAAAGGAGACUGGCCUUGGAUAGCUGCUCUUGGAUAUGAAAUUCAAAGUUAUAAUAAGUCUGUGUCAAUUAAAUGGCUUUGCGGUGGGACCCUAAUUUCUCCAUCCCAUGUCCUUACAGCAGCUCACUGCGUCUAUAAUCGCCAGGACUUGAUAUUAGUACGUCUAGGAGAUUUAGAUCUCUUGGCGGAUAAUGACAAUGCAAAUCCCAUUGAUGUUUUAAUAGAUAAACGUAUUAUACAUCCCAAUUAUAGUGUUACGAGCUAUACUAACGAUAUUGCCAUUUUAAAACUAAAAGAAAGUAUUCCUCUUUCAGGCCUUAUCCACCCCAUAUGCCUUCCAAUAUCUGAUGAAAUACGCAAUCGAGACUUUGCUCGCUCGUUUCCAUUUAUUGCAGGAUGGGGUUCGAUAUAUUUCAACGGGCCAACAAGCAGUAUUCUACAAGAACUUCAAAUUCCAGUUGUUGAAAUAUCUCAAUGCCAAAGAGCUUUCCAACAAUUUAAAACUGCAAUUAUAAAUGAAAAAGUAAUUUGUGCUGGUUACGCUAGAGGUGGAAAAGAUGCAUGCCAAACGAACAAUAAAUGCUCGAGACGUAGAGCAACAAAGGCGGAAUAUUCAGCUUUUACACAAAUUCAAAAAAACUUCACCUGUAUUUAUCGAUAAGUGUUAUGAUGAGCCGAUUAACCUAAAAGAAAAGGAUAUAGGAAUUGUCACGUUGACUGGCAGCUCCUAGUCACAGCAGGUCCGCGACUGCCGAUCACCAGACAUCGGUUCUCCUUGGCUGUCUCAUCAUUCAAAAUCUUUUAAGAGUACAAAGCAAUUAAAUCGCAUCCGUUCCCGGGGCUUAACUGCCUGAGUGCUUGUCAGUACAAAACACUAAAUUUAUCGGAAGAACGUUUUUUUCCUGUUAUGAUCGACUCUGAACCAUCGUCAUCGCCUCAUUAUCGUCUCUGC